AUGUUAGGAUGGAGAUGGAGACCCAGGCCCGACCGUCAGGUCCCCGGUGUCAUGGGUGCCUGGGGUCGUGGCCCACUGCCCUUCCUCAGCCCGAGGCAGGGUGGGCCCUCCCUCCUGUCCCGGGCCCAGACUCUGCACCCAUCCUUGCUCAAAGGGAAGGAUGACAGCUGGUCCCAAGGGAACUAUCCUGAAGCUGCAGGGGCCAGGCAAAUGGAGAUGAGAUUUGGGGAGGUGGGGGUCAGCAGGGGUGGCGCUGUCGGCGGGACCCAUCGUUGGUGACUUUCUGCAGAAAGACUGGUGAGUAAGUACAGUUGGGUUUCUUGCUCUCCUUCUUUCCUUUGGCAGCUUGUUGGGCCAUCUGGUCCCUACCACCGCCACCCAUAGGGGGCAUCUCCCUCCGUGUCACCCCAAAGACCAUGACACCACUGAGCCUCACUGGCCAGGUGGAGGAUGCAGGCUUCAGGAAGACAGGAGCUAUGGACCCUGGGAGAAUCUUAGGUGGCGAUGCUGAGGGAUUAGGGGGACCGUGGGGAGAAGGGAGCGCCUGCCCUUCUCUCUCUAGAGGCGUGCUGCCGCUCCACCCCAUCCUGCCUGGGCUUGAGCAGAGGCACACAGCCACAGCGCUCUGGGUGGGCAGCUCCCCUGGGGGCUGAGAGGACCUGGGGUCCGGUGCAAGCAGAGCCCUCCUUACCUCUCCCAGGGUGGCUCUGGCGGGGGCCCACAAGCCCGCCCACACUCUUGCACACAUCAGCCUCCCAUGGGCCCUUCCUCCCCCCUUGCUGCUUCUCCAUUUGCCUAAUUACCAAGCAGAAGUUAUAGUCUGGUUUGCUUUAUUUUUAUAUGUGAAAUACCCCCAAAGUCUGACCUCCCAUGUUCAAUAUUGACUGGGGCAUCGGUCAUCUCCCCUUAAUGCCCCCCCACCUUUGUGUCAUAGGAAACAGGCGAGGUCUGGUUUGAGAUGGGAAAUUGGGACCCACCCCUGUCUGAUUCCCCUUUCUGACCCUCAGUGUGCCCUUCUGUGAAAUGGGUGGAUGGGUGGCGAGGCCUCUUCAUAAACCACUGCUGGUGUCCAGGCAGCUGCUGAGGAUUAGGUGGUGGGCGAGGUUCCUGGUGCGGGGCCUCCUGCCUCCCACAGCCCCCCAUCAUUCUCACCCUGCCAGAGGGUCAGGGUUGAAAUGAGCUCCAUCCUUUGCUCUGGAAAGAGGUGAUAAUCAAGUCCCUGACCUCAGUGUGAGGUGAGUUGAGUGGGAGGGAGCACCCCAUUUAAAAGACGAGGAAG
rnacentral:lncRNA from 1 species